CAUGUUGUUUUCUAGGGUUCCGCAGCGAUUCAGCUGGACUGGUCCGAGAGAAAACCCACAAUGAAACCAAUUGUGACACGGAGGGAUAAAAGCCCGGGAGAU
rnacentral:sRNA from 2 species